rnacentral:sRNA from 1 species
GGUCCCCCUGGCUCUGCUGGUGCUCCUGGCAAAGAUGGACUCAACGGUCUCCCUGGUCCCAUUGGGCCCCCUGGUCCUCGCGGUCGCACUGGUGAUGCUGGUCCUGUUGUACGUAGCCCCUCAUCCCCUCUGCUUGUGGCCCUCCAGCCCCCAAAGCAAUUGGAUGCCGGUAAUCCCCACUCUCCUCCUUCUCUGUGCAGGGUCCCCCCGGCCCUCCCGGACCUCCUGGUCCCCCUGGUCCUCCCAGCGGUGGUUUCGACUUCAGCUUCCUGCCCCAGCCACCUCAAGAGAAGGCUCACGAUGGUGGCCGCUACUACCGGGCUGAUGACGCCAAUGUGGUUCGUGACCGUGACCUCGAGGUGGACACCACCCUCAAGAGCCUGAGCCAACAGAUCGAGAACAUCCGGAGCCCCGAGGGCAGCCGCAAGAACCCCGCCCGCACCUGCCGCGACCUCAAGAUGUGCCACUCUGACUGGAAGAGCGGAGAGUACUGGAUUGACCCCAACCAAGGCUGCAACCUGGAUGCCAUCAAAGUCUUCUGCAACAUGGAGACUGGUGAGACCUGCGUGUACCCCACUCAGCCCAGUGUGGCCCAGAAGAACUGGUACAUCAGCAAGAACCCCAAGGACAAGAGGCAUGUCUGGUUUGGCGAGAGCAUGACCGAUGGAUUCCAGGUGCGUGAGCUGGACCUCAGAGCCAGUGUUAGGAGAUGGGCUAGCCCAGUGCUCAGAAGGGACAUGAAGUUCUGGAGUAGGUCUCUGCUAAGGGUGAUGGUCAGAGCUGGGCUGGGAGGCAGGGGUCUCAGGUCCCUGACAAUGGUUCAGACACAGGCUGCCUAUGGGCAGGUGGUGCCUUCUCUUGAUAUAACGGUGCAUUGGGCAGCUGUCUGAGGACCCUGGACAGGGAGGCCAGGCAGGACUAGAGUUUCCCGCAUAGCGGCUCACUCUUCCCUCUCUCCCCGCCCCUGCAGUUUGAGUAUGGCGGCCAGGGCUCUGACCCUGCUGACGUGGCCAUCCAGCUGACCUUCCUGCGCCUGAUGUCCACCGAGGCCUCCCAGAACAUCACCUACCACUGCAAGAACAGCGUGGCCUACAUGGACCAGCAGACUGGCAACCUCAAGAAGGCCCUGCUCCUCCAGGGCUCCAAC